GACGAACGUUGGCGGCGUGCUUAAUACAUGCAAGUCAACUGAAGCAGUGGUAGCAAUCUCGCUGUGGAGGUGGCGCACGGGUGAGUAACACGUAGGUAAUCUGCCUUCAGGUCUGGCAUAACUCCGGGAAACCGGGGCUAAUAGCAGAUGAUGCAGCGGCUCGACAUCGAGACAGUUGUUAAAGCUAUGGCGCCUGAAGAUGAGCCUGCGUCUGAUUAGCUAGUUGGCGGGGUAACGGCCCACCAAGGCAACGAUCAGUAGCUGGUCUGAGAGGAUGAUCAGCCACACUGGAACUGAGACACGGUCCAGACUCCUACGGGAGGCAGCAGUAAGGAAUAUUGCUCAAUGGGAGAAAUACUGAAGCAGCAACGCCGCGUGAGGGACGAAGGGCUUUUGCUUGUAAACCUCUGUAGUGAGAGAAAAAAAUCCCAAUCUUUGGGACAUGAUGGUAUCUCAAAAGUAAGCCCCGGCUAACUACGUG
rnacentral:rRNA from 1 species